rnacentral:lncRNA from 1 species
CCCCUCUCCUCCAAGGGAACGCCCUUUCCUUCUGGCUUCAGGGAGGGAGGGUGGUGGAGGCCAGGGGUGAAGAAGACAUGGGGAGGAGGCAGAGAGGAGAGAAUGUUGGAGAAAUGGGGUCUGGGUAGACCUACCCCUGCUGUUUCUCAGCUGAGCCCGCAAAUUCCUGUUUGCUUAGCCUGUUUGUUGUUACUUUCAGGUGAAACUUUCCUCGCUGGUGCCAGGCAUUUCUGGAGGACAGCAUUGGGUGGAGCUGAAAAGGAGGGGCCCGCGGGUGCCUGGACCUGGAUGGGGCGGGGUUGGCCAAAUCCUUUCCUUUGGAUUCCACCUCCAGGACCGUGUGUGAUGCUGACAGGGACCAGCUGCUCUUCCUGAGUCCACCCCCAAGAGCCUCCUGGAGCCCCCAGCCCCGUGUUGGCCCAGCAGGAAGAGAUGUAACAGGAGAAUUAGCAUGCAGGCCGCAUGGCGGAGGCCUCAGUUCACAUAGAGUCUCUAGUGCUUUGGAAGGCGCACUGAGCCACAACUAUACUGCAGGGUGAGAAAAAUCCCCCCCCCCCCCCCCCCCCCCCCCCCCCCCCCCGAGCUCAGCCAUGUACUUUUUAGCUGCAGCUGACCUGGGCAGCCGAGCUCUGGGAUUCUCUGCUCGGUCCGCUCAUUAGUGGGGGUGGAGAAGGAAGUCAUAAUGAGGGCCCAUGCCUGGGGACGAGACCCAAAGAAUGAAAUAAAUCAGUGGAGGCCAACCCA